AUGGACAUUUUGUAUCAGUGCAAGGAGAUCUUAAAGAUUCAGAAGUUUAGGCGAUUGGCGUCUUAUGCUGGAUUCUAUUCCUUCACUACCCUCGUUACCUAUGCUUACACAAGCAAUACGACAAGAGCUGGCAUUUCGAGGGCCGAUCAGUAUUAUGCUUCCUACCCUUCUGGCACCGAGCUAUUAACUGACACUGCAAAGCUUUACAAGGCUGCAUUAGGUAAUUGUUUUGAAAUAGACGACUGGGGUCCAAUAGAAUUCUCCAUCAUGGCAAAGCACUUUGACCGGCAAGGCAAACCACCAUAUGCUUACCAUGCUCAAUACAUGUCGCACCUUCUAUCCCAUGGCCAACUCGAUGGAAGUGGUUAA
rnacentral:rRNA from 1 species